AACGUUAAUUGAGGAUCUUCAGUUCUGGAUCUAGACUCAAUGCAUCAAGCUCAGACCCAACAUAUAGAUCAGGUGUCUGCAACAGGUGGGAUGAAUCACACACCAGAGUCUGGGUCCAGUGGGAAGAUGACAAGGUAAAACGUCACCUCUUCAGGGGAAGAAAGAAGGUAUGGUGCUGGCUCCUUUUUCCAGUCUCUGCAGUAGGUAUUAGCAG